CUCUUCCGCCGUGUGACUGGCGUUUCCUCCCUAAACUCGGGCCAUCCUUCGGGACGGCCCUUUUUUUUGCCCGCC
rnacentral:sRNA from 1 species